rnacentral:piRNA from 1 species
UGCAGGUGCAGAUGAGUUAGGAGAGG